GCAUAUCAAUAAGCGGAGGAAAAAGAAACUAACAAGGAUUCCCCUAGUAACUGCGAGUGAAGCGGGAAAAGCUCAAAUUUAAAAUCUGGUGGUCUUCGGCCAUCCGAGUUGUAAUCUAGAGAAGCGUUACCCGCGUCGGACCGUGUACAAGUCUCCUGGAAUGGAGCAUCAUAGAGGGUGAGAAUCCCGUCUUUGACACGGACUACCGAGGCUUUGUGGUACGCUCUCAAAGAGUCGAGUUGUUUGGGAAUGCAGCUCAAAAUGGGUGGUAAAUUCCAUCUAAAGCUAAAUAUUGGCGAGAGACCGAUAGCGAACAAGUACCGUGAGGGAAAGAUGAAAAGAACUUUGGAAAGAGAGUUAAACAGUACGUGAAAUUGCUGAAAGGGAAACGCUUGAAGUCAGUCGCGUUGGCCGGAAAUCAGCCUUGCUUUUGCUGGGUGUAUUUUCUGGUUGACGGGCCAGCAUCAGUUUUGACCGGUGGAAAAAGUCUAGAGGAAUGUGGCAUCUUCGGAUGUGUUAUAGCCUUUGGUCGUAUACAUCGGUUGGGACUGAGGAACUCAGCACGCCGCAAGGCCGGGUCUUUGACCACGUACGUGCUUAGGAUGCUGGCAUAAUGGCUUUAAUCGACCCGUCUUGAAACACGGACCAAGGAGUCUAACAUGCCUGCGAGUGUUUGGGUGGAAAACCCGGACGCGUAAUGAAAGUGAAAGUCGAGAUCCUUGUCAUGGGGAGCAUCGACGCCCGGACCAGAAGUUUUCUGACGGCCCUGCGGUAGAGCAUGUAUGUUGGGACCCGAAAGAUGGUGAACUAUGCCUGAAUAGGGUGAAAGCCAGAGGAAACUCUGGUGGAGGCUCGUAGCGAUUCUGACGUGCAAAUCGAUCGUCAAAUUUGGGUAUAGGGGGCGAAAGACUAAUCGAACCCAUCUAGUAGCUGGUUCCUGCCGAAG
rnacentral:rRNA from 1 species